CAGUAGCGUAUAUUAAUGUUGUUGCAGUUAAAAAGCUCGUAGUUGGAUUUCUGGCAGGGGGCAACAGCCCGCUUGCAGCGUGUGCUUGCCGUCCCCUACCAUCCUUCUGUUAACGCGCCAGGACAUUCACUUGUCGGGCGCGGGCUCAGAUAAUUUACCUUGAGAAAAUUAGAGUGUUUCAGGCAGGCUGACGCCGGGAUACAUUAGCAUGGAAUAAUGGAAUAGGACUUUCGCCUCUUCUGUUGGUCUGAGGGGUGAUCGUAAUGAUUAAUAGGGAUAGUUGGGGGCAUUAGUACUUAACUGUCAGAGGUGAAAUUCUCGGAUUUGUUAAAGACUAACUUAUGCGAAAGCAUUUGCCAAGGAUGUUUUCAUUAAUCAAGAACGAAAGUUAGGGGAUCAAAGACGAUC
rnacentral:rRNA from 1 species